CCCUUAGACGUUCUGGGCCGCACGCGCGCUACACUGACCAGUGCAACAAGCAUCCGUCCUUGGCCGACAGGCUCGGGCAAUCUUUGAACGCUGGUCGUGAUGGGGAUAGACUUUUGCAAUUUUUGGUCUUCAACGAGGAAUUCCUAGUAAACGCAAGUCAUCAACUUGCAUUGAUUACGUCCCUGCCCUUUGUACACACCGCCCGUCGCACCUACCGGUUGAAUGGUCCGGUGAAGCCUCCGGAUUGGCGCGCACCUCGGUGCCGCCGAGAAGUUGGCUAAACCUUACCAUUUAGAGGAAGGUGAAGUCGUAACA
rnacentral:rRNA from 1 species